rnacentral:rRNA from 1 species
UACGUAGGGGGCUAGCGUUGUCCGGAUUUAUUGGGCGUAAAGAGCGUGUAGGCGGCCAUGUAGGUCCGGUGUGAAAACUCGAGGCUUAACCUCGAGAUGUCAUCGGAAACCAUUUGGCUAGAGUCCGGAAGAGGAGAGUGGAAUUCCUGGUGUAGCGGUGAAAUGCGUAGAUAUCUGGAGGAACACCGGUGGCGAAGGCGGCAUCCUGGACCGAUACUGACGCUGAGGAGCGAAAGCCAGGGGAGCAAACGGG